UCUACUUCAAGUCCUGUGUGCAACAUAGCCACAACAAAACUUCUACUUCAAGUCCUGUGUGCAAUAUUCCCACAAUCAAAUCAAUGUGGCACGUUCUGUCAGUACGUUGGUAAAACCAAGCCAGCUUAUAAAAUAAAGAGAAGCUAGUUGAGAAUGACAAAGUCAAAACAGCAUCGAAAAUGAUUUUACUUUCUAAUCCUUCGUAUUAAGCCAGGAUGUAAGAACUUUUCUUCACUGAACUAUAUAGGUGUUUUGACAGUAAUAAAGACACAAAAAUUACUAUUCUUGAAAAAAAAUCAAGGAACCACAAACUAACUUAUGGUUUUAAUCUUCAAAGCAUUGAAUAAUAAAAGAAUAUAGGAGUUUAUAUUUCAUUUUAUAUUUUAGUUGAGUUUGAGUCUGACAGAACGUGUCACCAAUGAUAAGAGAAUAUCAAAGCAACCAACGAAUAAGUGAGAAUAUAGAAUCCUAGACUUUGGAGGGAGUUUGUACAGGUGAACAAUGACAGAGAUAAAGUGUUCAACUAAUGACUUCAUUCAAUCUAUGUACACAGACACCAAACACUUGGCAGGCAUGUUUAGUGGAAUACAACUUAAGGACUGCUCCUACAUCACUAUACAUGACAAUUUCUUGAAAUUGAAAAACAAAGUUUUAGUAGUCCAAACUGUCAUGAUAUACUGGCUUGUUUUUUUAUUUUAUAUUAUCAGACCUUUCUACAAUCUUAACAUAAUACUCCACCCUCUUUUUUGUCUGUUAUUUUCAAAUUCUCUUGACCUCUCUUUAGUUAAAAAAAAAAAAAAAAAAAAAAAACUAUUCAUAAAAUAAUUAUUUUUUUC